UAGGGAAUUUUGGACAAUGGGCGCAAGCCUGAUCCAGCAAUGCCGCGUGCAGGAUGAAGGCCUUCGGGUUGUAAACUGCUUUUGUACGGAGCGAAAAGGUCUGCCCUAAUACGGUGGGCUCAUGACGGUACCGUAAGAAUAAGCACCGGCUAACUACGUGCCAGUAGCCGCGGUAAUACGUAGGGUGCGAGCGUUAAUCGGAAUUACUGGGCGUAAAGCGUGCGCAGGCGGUUAUAUAAGACAGAUGUGAAAUCCCCGUGCUCAACCUGGGACCUGCAUUUGUGACUGUAUAGCUAGAGUACGGUAGGGGGGGAUGGAAUUCCGCGUGUAGCAGUGAAAUGCGUAGAUAUGCGGAGGAACGCCGAUGGCGAAGGCAAUCCCCUGGACCUGUACUGACGCUCAUGCACGAAAGCGUGGGGAGCAAACA
rnacentral:rRNA from 1 species